AUGACAACAACCCGGUUUCUGGCCUGGUUGGUGGUUUUUAGGUGAAUAGAUUGAAGCUCUAUAGUGACCUUCAACAAUUUCUCUUUAGACUCCAGACAAUAACCUCCAUUUUGUUCUUUGUUUAGCUGAAAGCCGACACGUUCUGUUGGAAUCACCUUCAGAACGCCAUGUGAGACGGAAAAAGGAUUACGGAUCGUCAUACUUCACACUCAAAGUUACCAGAUUCUACAUAUGCAGUCAAUCAGAGAUCAUCCACCUGGAGCGGAGCUGCAGCUGGAGGCGCCUGGAGACGCUCACGGGGACAAUACAAACGGACGGGAUGAUGGCGGGAUGAUGGCGGCAUGAGGGCGGGAUGAUGGCGGGAUGGAUAGAUACACGCUUUUCACUGUAGGAGGAAGUAUGAUUCUAAAUACAUGUUUAUGGAAAUAGAUAUUGCUACAGUUGGAUUGAUAAAAGUCAACAUAAGGAAUGACUUUUGUUUGAGUAAAUAUGUGUGUAAAUACAGUUAUUCAUGGACACAAAGAGUGAGAUUUCAUUCAUAAACUGGUAAAAACUCUC